CAGCAGCCGCGGGAAAACGAAGGGUGCAAGCGUUAAUCGGAAUUACUGGGCGUAAAGCGCGCGUAGGUGGUUUGGUAAGAUGGAUGUGAAAUCCCCGGGCUCAACCUGGGAACUGCAUCCAUAACUGCCUGACUAGAGUACGGUAGAGGGUGGUGGAAUUUCCUGUGUAGCGGUGAAAUGCGUAGAUAUAGGAAGGAACACCAGUGGCGAAGGCGACCACCUGGACUGAUACUGACACUGAGGUGCGAAAGCGUGGGGAGCAAACAGGAUUAGAGACCCGCGUAGUCCCUGUCUCUUAUAC
rnacentral:rRNA from 1 species